rnacentral:rRNA from 1 species
AGUGAACGCUGGCGGUAGGCCUAACACAUGCAAGUCGAACGGCAGCACAGUAAGAGCUUGCUCUUACGGGUGGCGAGUAGCGGACGGGUGAGGAAUACAUCGGAAUCUACUUUUUCGUGGGGGAUAACGUAGGGAAACUUACGCUAAUACCGCAUACGACCUACGGGUGAAAGCAGGGGAUCUUCGGACCUUGCGCGAUUGAAUGAGCCGAUGUCGGAUUAGCUAGUUGGCGGGGUAAAGGCCCACCAAGGCGACGAUCCGUAGCUGGUCUGAGAGGAUGAUCAGCCACACUGGAACUGAGACACGGUCCAGACUCCUACGGGAGGCAGCAGUGGGGAAUAUUGGACAAUGGGCGCAAGCCUGAUCCAGCCAUACCGCGUGGGUGAAGAAGGCCUUCGGGUUGUAAAGCCCUUUUGUUGGGAAAGAAAAGCAGCAGGUUAAUACCCCGCUGUUCUGACGGUGCCCAAAGAAUAAGCACCGGCUAACUUCGUG